rnacentral:rRNA from 1 species
GACGGAGGGUGCAAGCGUUGUUCGGAUUGACUGGGCGUAAAGGGCGUGUCGGCGGUCGGCCAAGUCUGAUGUGAAAGCCCGAGGCUCAGCCUCGGAAGUGCGUCGGAAACUAGUCGGCUGGAGCGCGAUAGAGGAGGGUGGAAUUCCUGGUGUAGCGGUGAAAUGCGUAGAUAUCAGGAGGAACACCGGCGGCGAAGGCGGCCCUCUGGAUCGUUGCUGACGCUGAGACGCGAAAGCGUGGGGAGCAAACAGG